rnacentral:rRNA from 1 species
UACGUAGGGUGCAAGCGUUGUCCGGAAUUAUUGGGCGUAAAGAGCUCGUAGGCGGUCUGUCGCGUCGGAUGUGAAAAUCCAGGGCUCAACCCUGGACCUGCAUUCGAUACGGGCAGACUAGAGUUCGGUAGGGGAGACUGGAAUUCCCGGUGUAGCGGUGAAAUGCGCAGAUAUCAGGAGGAACACCGGUGGCGAAGGCGGGUCUCUGGGCCGAAACUGACGCUGAGGAGCGAAAGCGUGGGGAGCAAACAGG